rnacentral:lncRNA from 1 species
AAAAACGACGUCAUACUCAGUUCAACACUGGGUCAUGUGGGGAUAGGUGAGCGAUUCAGGACCAACAUGGUCCUCUUGUUUGCCUUUAUUGUGGUUUUGACAUAAUAGUGACAUUUUUCGCUUCAGACUUGGAAUCAAAAUGUAACACAUUUAAUGACUCUGGAUUACACCAGCAAUCAUCUUGUGGAAUCCUUGAUGCUAUCAAUCAGUUGAGACCUGGGAUAGUAACAGAUCGAAAUGCUGCUAGAGAACACAAGAUGGUAGAGCUGGUACGAGGUUCAUACGUAUUUCUUUAUGAAAACCAACUGAAGCUGGCAAAUGAGUCAUCAAAAUCUAUGUCAGCACUGGCACGACAUCUAGUGGAUAUUUUCUUUAGUUUGAAUAUCCAGAAGACGUCAAACCUAUCCGGUUCUAAUGGGUUGAAGGCCUUGGACAAAACGAUUGUUGAUGCCAUUGUAGCUUACAAUCUAUCAUGUGAGCAGUUCAAGAGGCAGUCUCCAGCAGAGAUAAGGCAGUCCUUACGGAAUAAACUUGGUUGUCUAAGGGCUCCUUCCAGAACAAAAGACUGAAAAUUAUAUUUGCUCUGUCCACCUUAUUGUUAUACUGUAUAGCAGGUUAAUUCUGCAGGCAAAAAAUUCAGCAGUUUUGUCCUAAAAUGGGCCUUUUUUAUUUCUGCGUUUUUUAUUUCUACAACCUUCGAGAAAAGCAGAAAAUAAUUUUUGCGGUUUGCAUAAAACAGAAGUAAUUUCUGUGCGUGGGAAAUAGGUACCGUAUUUACUACGUCAAAAUUAACGACUCAAAUUGAUGCACAUCGUUCUCGUCAGUUAUGUCUUUGUGUCAUUAUCUAGGUUUGAAUAAAGGACAGUGAAGUUGGCACAGAUGAUUUAUGUUUAAAUCUGAUCUCUUUUCAUUACCGUGCAUGAUCAAAAAUCAAAUUUAAAAAUAGAUACUGUAUGUCUAAUACCAGUAAUUCAUUUUAAAAGACAUCUCAUAAAAUGCAAUACUGCUGGUAGAAAAAUUUACAAUAUAUUUACAAAUAUACACAAAUGCAAAAUCUAGUACAUAGUUUCACAGUCCAUUCAGUUACAACACACAUUAAUUAGUUUGUUUGACUUUUCAUAAACCCCCGAGUGUUUUGUAAUAUACACUUGUAAAGAUUACAUGCCCAAAAGGCUAACCAUUCAUUCGUGGGCAAUAUAUUAAUACAAUAACAAAAGCAAUCAACCACAGAUAAAGAUAAUGGGUCAUUAUAUAAGUUGAAAUAUCAAAAGUUUAUUUUUGCGUAAAACAUUCUGCUGAUAGUUUAAAUGUGCGGAAUUUAUUUCUGAGUGACAGCCUCGGCCCUCAGAUUUAGCAGAAAUAAAACCCCGCAGAAUUAAUCCGCUAUACGGUACUUUGUUACAGUAUUCAUUGACAGUGGCUUUUUCUUCCACAUUUAUGUAAAGUUUGGUGUUCAUUUUAAUGCAUUUGUGAAAUCAUACUGGCCUGAUGUGGGGCACAGCUACUUGGCCAAUUUGAUUUUCUAAAUGCAUCAAAAUUACACUAACCUAGUUGUUAAUUAAUUGUUGAAAUUAUAGUUUUGUUUAUUAGAAUUAUUGAAAUGUUAUCUCAUGUGGCAAUUAGUAUUCUUAUAUGAUAUCAGUGUUUGUAGGUUACUAAGGUUAGUGUUAUGGUGAUGCAUUAAUGAAAUUAACUUGGCCUAGUGUCAGCCCAGCAAAACAGUUAUUUUUUUUAAAUGCACCUGUCAGUUUUUAUAUUAAUGAGUUGAUGAAACAUUUACUCAUGUUUCAGUUAUCAAUAAUAAUUAGUCCUUUUCAACAUUUAUGUAGAUCUUCGAGUUUAUUUUUAGCUCGACUAUUCGAAGAAUAGGGGAGCUAUCCUACUCGCCCCGGCGUCGGUGUGACCGUGAGCGUUGGCACGAGCGUCACACAAAUGUUAAAGUUUGCGUACCACCCCAAAUAUUUUCAAAGUCCAUUGAGAUAUAAUUGUUGUUGUUGUUAUUAAUUCACUUAAAAAUUGAAUAUGAUCCUCUAUUUUGACAAAUAUAGAGUAUUUAAAAUGUUCUAAAAUGUCAUUUCAUUGUCUAACAGUUGCUUUUUGUUUUAAUUCCCUGUUCUUUCAGUACAGAAACAGUGUCAGGGCAAUUGUUAUAUGAAGCAUCAGUCAAAAUGCACAUACUUUUUGACCAUAGUUGUAGAAAGGAUGUCAUUCUGAAAAUGGUUUGAAACAGAGUUUGUUGUUGAAUGUAUAUGGUGAAUAGCAACAACUUCCUUAAACUUAGAUAUUUGAGUAUUAUCACAAUUUUAUUUUUGUAGCAAUUAAAUAAACAUUUUAUGUACUUUUUGAUGUAUUAUAUUAUCAAAGUUGAGAAUUUGAA